rnacentral:rRNA from 1 species
AUUGAACGCUGGCGGCAGGCCUAACACAUGCAAGUCGAACGAGUGGCGGACGGGUGAGUAAUGUCUGGGAAACUGCCCGAUGGAGGGGGAUAACUACUGGAAACGGUAGCUAAUACCGCAUACCAUCGGAUGUGCCCAGAUUGGAUUAGCUGGUUGGUGGGGUAACGGCUCACCUAGGCGACGAUCCCUAGCUGGUCUGAGAGGAUGACCAGCAACACUGGAACUGAGACACGGUCCAGACUCCUACGGGAGGCAGCAGUGGGGAAUAUUGCACAAUGGGGGCAAGCCUGAUGCAGCCAUGCCGCGUGUAUGAAGAAGGCCUUCGGGUUGUAAAGGACUUUCAUCGGGGAGGCGGUACCCGAAGAAGAAGCACCGGCUAACUACGUGCCAGCAGCCGCGGUAAUUC